UCGCCUAUUGGCGCUUUGAGACUUCUCUUUUUCUACCGCAUAGGUCGGUGUACCGAUUCCAUAUUCAACCUAUGCAUAAUAAUGCUAGAAUCUAUACCUGGCACAUCUGAGGCUAACCAAGCAAAGAUGCCUACGUUGGCACAAAGAAAGAUGAUGAGCUGAGCUCAGGUUGCUGCAUCUAGUUAGGAGCUGACAUAAACAAUUCAACCUAUCCCUUCGUCGCCAACAAGGAAGGGGAUGAGCUCCUUAACUAGCUCUCCUUGUUGCUCCUUUAGCUUGUUCCGUGUAUCCAAGCCUUUAACGAGGAGCAUCUCGAUCAGCUUCUUUCCUCAGAGUGCGGCCACAUAACACUAUCGAGCUAUUGCAUGAUCACCCCGAACUUCUCCAACUCCAUGCUCGGUAGAAAACUACACUACAAGAUGAUAGGUCGAUACCACAGCUCGCAUUGUAUUCAACCCGAGCCGACCCAAGAUGGCAUUGUAUGCCAGGAGAAACUUUACCACCAAGAAAUUCAACAUUACGGUCGUCUACCAAGGCUCCUGGCCAAUAGUAACCAUGAAGGUAAUGGUGCCUUCCACGGGAACAGAAUCUUCCGAGAAUCAAAUCAGAGAAGAAUCAGUUCUUAGCGGAUCUGACGAUAAGCUCAUUCUACGGAAAGCAUCAUAAAAUGUCUGUCGAGC
rnacentral:lncRNA from 1 species